rnacentral:rRNA from 1 species
AUUGAACGCUGGCGGCAGGCCUAACACAUGCAAGUCGAGCGACCGGCGGACGGGUGAGUAAUGUAUGGGGACUGCCCGACAGAGGGGGAUAACUACUGGAAACGGUAGCUAAUACCGCAUACUAUCGGAUAACCCAUAUGGGAUUAGCUAGUAGGUGAGGUAAUGGCCCACCUAUGCGACGAUCCCUAGCUGGUCUGAGAGGAUGAACAGCCACACUGGGACUGAGACACGGCCCAGACUCCUACGGAGGCAGCGGUGGGGAAUAUUGCACAAUGGGCGCAGGCCUGAUGCAGCCAUGCCGCGUGUAUGAAGAAGGCCCUAGGGUUGUAAAGUACUUUCAGUCGGGAGGCGUUACCGACAGAAGAAGCACCGGCUAACUCCGUGCCAGCAGCCGCGGUAAUUC